rnacentral:rRNA from 1 species
CCCUUAGAUGUUCUGGGCCGCACGCGCGCUACACUGUUCGACGCAGCGAGUCUUAACCUUGACCGAAAGGUUUGGGUAAUCUUCAGCAAAGUCGAACGUGAUGGGGAUCGAUCAUUGCAAUUAUUGAUCGUGAACGAGGAAUUCCUAGUAAGUGCAAGUCAUCAGCUUGCGCUGAUUACGUCCCUGCCCUUUAUACACACCGCCCGUCGCUACUACCGAUUGAAUGGUUUAGUGAGAUCUCUGGAUUGACGCUGGCUAGGGGGCGACCCUUGGCCAGACUGUUGAGAAACUGCUCAAACUUGAUCAUUUAGAGGAAGUAAAAGUCGUAACA